CACUGAUUGCUCUUCCAGGGGUCCUGAUUCAAUCCCCAGCAUCCACAUGGUGGCUCUCAGCCAUCUGUAAUGGGACCUGGUGCCCUCUUCUGGUGUGUGUACUUAGGUUUAUUUAAAAAAAACAAAAAAAAAAAAACUUUAAAAAUAAGAUUUUAAAAAGCAGGCCAUGUAAGACAAAAUGGUAUCUUUGUGAAGUGUUGAUUAUUGUUGGGCACUUGAGCCAGUGUCUGAAUUUUAAAGGUCUAAAAUUUUUCUCUCCCUAGGUUGUUGAGACAGCAUGAAUCUACUGAAGCCACUGCUGUAAUACAGAAGAGUUUAAAAGCCAGGAAGUCUGGGCUCACACUGCUGCUUUGGGUCAGUUGGAGUCUCUUCUCUGUGUAGAAACUGAGCUGCUGCUGCUUACAGUUCUGAAUUCUCCCGUUUGGAUUGUGCUUCCUACACUCUCCAUAUGGCAAAACCCCUGGUGCUUCUGUCCUUCCCACCUGUCCUGUUCUGGCUGCUUCAGGUGUGGUGCUGUGGACCAACAGUGAUGCUGUUGCCUGGGACCUGAGAUGCACAACUACAGGCAGGACAUAGGGACCUGAUGAAUCAGAUCGUCCAUUUUUACAAGGCUCUGGAAGACCCAUGGGCACAUAGUCGAGGAAACACAGUAUCUGUUUUAAGGUUACAGCACGCUGUGAGGAAAAACUCCUAAUGACGCAAAAGCCGCAGGCAGAAAACCUUAUUUUGUGAUUUAUGCUUAUGAGCAGUCACAGCACAUGUCAAGAGUAUGCUACGGGACACAUUUCUACUGUAGAGAGAAUCUGUUGUGUACUGUAUGGAAGCAUCACCUGCCAUAAAUAAGUAGCUGAUGGCCUGCUAGCUGAGGCAGGAAGGAAAUAGGUGGAAGUUCUGGUAGGGAAGAGGACUCUGGGAUAAUCGGGUGAGGGGACAGAAUUGCCUCUGACCAUGGAAUAGAAUAAACGUGUUGGUUAAGUUACAAGCGAGUCAGAACAAGCCCAAGCUUAUAAUUCAAUCUCAGAUGUCUUUAUUCUGGAAACAAAGAGGCUCAGAGGAAAAUCCUGCAGCUGCAUUGUUACAUUUUAUAAUUAUAAUUAAGUUGCUUUUCCACCUUUAAGAAUAUCAAACUUAGUUGUAUAGUAAAUGUUUAAACCUGAUUUGUAAAAGGUUCAUGUUGUUGUAGACAUGGCUACUCUUGAACUCAGUAGUGGGGCCCACCCUGAAUCUGGUUUUUGUUUUUCAAAUACAAACUCACAACGACUAGUAGAAAAUUUCAAUUCAAAAGGUUUUUAAUUUCCUUAAAUAUUUCUUACACGUACUGUUCCACAUUGUGGAAAUAAACUAAGCAGAACAUUGAACGUUUUCGACCAAUGGCACAAAUAUAUGUAGACAAACCUGAACAGGCAGCAGGCUUAAAUUUUAAGUUUACAACUAGGUAGGAACAUUUGAGCUGCACCAGAAUUCCAAACUGCUACAGGGAUGGUCCUUGGAAUCCAGCUGAAAAGAGGCCGGUUCUCCAUCCUUUGUGGUCACUGCAGCUGUACUCUGUAUGCACCUAUUAGCAACUUAACCUAAAGAAGAGAAUGAAUGUCAGUACACAAAUUCCACCUUGUAAGAACAUCCAAGUUAUUGCUAUAAUAUAUAUUAGGUAACCAUUAUUAGAAUGGUCUUCUAAGUAGUCCAGCUUCCUUUUUUCAUAUGGAGGGAUCUGUCCUAGGUGAGGGUAGUGGCAUUUUAGUACUGAAGUCAAGAUUUGGAGAGCUCAGCAGGGAUGCCCCCAGACUUGCCAAAUAUGCUAUGCAUAGCUGCCUCAGAGAGCCGAAGUUUGCCCAACAUAAGCCGUCUAGUACAAAGAGCUUGUCUGAACCAUGUCUCCUGACGUUUCUAGUGAGAGGAUUUAUUAGUAUUGCUAUUAUUAUGUCAGCAGUUACUGUGUAAAUAUGAAGCAAAGAUUUUCACCUUGGCAAAGGGUGCUUCCGUCAACCUUAUAAACAACUUAUUGGGGCCAGCAACAGGACUGAAUGAAUAAACAAAGUGACUGUCCUAGAGGGGAAAGAGAGAAGAUAAAGUCAGACUCAAGUCAGGGCUGUGACAUUUACAAUAGAGACCAGGAACUCCGAUCAGCGAACUGAGGGGUUUUGUUUUUGAAUUUUAAGAUAGGAUCUCUCUGUGCAGCCCCCCAAAAACCUCACCUUCAAGGCUUACCAUGUCUAAAGAGUUCUAGGCUACCUAGGGCUGAAAUAAAAACAACACAUGACUGCAUUCAAUACAAGGUGUUCAUUUUAUUAGCCUCUGGAAGAGUUCCAGCAGCAGAGUGUGUUAGAAUGAGGGCGUGGCAUGCUACUAUUCUAUUCUAGUCUCACAUUGUUUUCUGUAGGACAUAUGGUAGCACGAUUUAAGUGAAUAAACAUUAACAUGUUC
rnacentral:lncRNA from 1 species